rnacentral:rRNA from 1 species
AGAGUUUGAUCCUGGCUCAGGACGAACGCUGGCGGCGUGCCUAACACAUGCAAGUCGAACGGGGUUUACAGAGAAGCUUGCUUUUUUGUAAACCUAGUGGCGGACGGGUGAGUAACGCGUGGAUAACCUGCCUGUAAGACCGGGAUAACACCGGGAAACCGGUGCUAAUACCGGACGUGCUGUAAAGGGGGCAUCCCCUUUACAGGGAAGGGACGUAAGUCUGCUUACAGAUGGGUCCGCGUCCCAUUAGCUAGCUGGUGGGGUAACGGCCUACCAGGGCGACGAUGGGUAGCCGGCCUGAGAGGGUGGUCGGCCACACUGGGACUGAGACACGGCCCAGACUCCUACGGGAGGCAGCAGUGGGGAAUAUUGCGCAAUGGGCGGAAGCCUGACGCAGCGACGCCGCGUGGGUGAAGAAGGCCUUCGGGUCGUAAAACCCUGUUGCAGGGGACGAAGGAAGUGACGGUACCCUGUGAGGAAGCCCCGGCUAACUACGUGCCAGCAGCCGCGGUAAAACGUAGGGGGCGAGCGUUGUCCGGAAUUACUGGGUGUAAAGGGCGUGUAGGCGGGGAUGCAAGUCAGAUGUGAAAUUCCGGGGCUCAACCUUGGCACUGCAUCUGAAACUGUGUCUCUUGAGUGCUGGAGAGGAAAGUGGAAUUCCUAGUGUAGCGGUGAAAUGCGUAGAGAUUAGGAGGAACACCAGUGGCGAAGGCGACUUUCUGGACAGCAACUGACGCUGAGGCGCGAGAGCGUGGGGAGCAAACAGAAUUAGAUACCCUGGUAGUCCACGCCGUAAACGAUGGAUACUAGGUGUAGGAGGUAUCGACCCCUUCUGUGCCGUAGUUAACACAAUAAGUAUCCCACCUGGGGAGUACGGCCGCAAGGCUGAAACUCAAAGGAAUUGACGGGGGCCCGCACAAGCAGUGGAGUAUGUGGUUUAAUUCGAAGCAACGCGAAGAACCUUACCAGGGCUUGACAUCCCUUGACCGCUGUAGAAAUACAGUUUCCCUUCGGGGCAAGGAGACAGGUGGUGCAUGGUUGUCGUCAGCUCGUGUCGUGAGAUGUUGGGUUAAGUCCCGCAACGAGCGCAACCCCUGUCGUUAGUUGCCAGCACGUAGAGGUGGGCACUCUAGCGAGACUGCCGGUGACAAAUCGGAGGAAGGUGGGGACGACGUCAAAUCAUCAUGCCCCUUAUGUCCUGGGCUACACACGUACUACAAUGGUUGCUACAGAGGGCAGCGAAGCCGCGAGGUGGAGCAAAUCCCUAAAAGCAGCCCCAGUUCGGAUUGCAGGCUGAAACUCGCCUGCAUGAAGUCGGAAUUGCUAGUAAUGGCAGGUCAGCAUACUGCCGUGAAUACGUUCCCGGGCCUUGUACACACCGCCCGUCACACCAUGAGAGUCGGCAACACCCGAAGUCAGUAGUCUAACCGCAAGGGGGACGCUGCCGAAGGUGGGGCUGAUGAUUGGGGUGAAGUCGUAACAAGGUAACCG